GACGACGAUGAUGAGUCUACAGACCUGUAAUGAUUUUUGCGGAUAUGAUCGCACUAUCAAAGAACAUCUAAGGGACUGAGUCGUC